GAUGAACGCUAGCGGCAGGCUUAACACAUGCAAGUCGAGGGGUAUAGUUCUUCGGAGCUAGAGACCGGCGCACGGGUGCGUAACGCGUAUGCAAUCUACCUUUUGCAGAGGGAUAGCCCAGAGAAAUUUGGAUUAAUACCUCAUGGUAUGUGAGAAUGGCAUCAUUUUCACAUCAGAGUCACAACGGCAAAAGAUGAGCAUGCGUCCCAUUAGCUAGUUGGUAAGGUAACGGCUUACCAAGGCAACGAUGGGUAGGGGUCCUGAGAGGGAGAUCCCCCACACUGGUACUGAGUCACGGACCCGGCUCCUACGGGAGGCAGCAGUGAGGAAUAUUGGACAAUGGGCGCAAGCCUGAUCCAGCCAUGCCGCGUGCAGGAUGACGGUCCUAUGGAUUGUAAACUGCUUUUGUACAGGAAGAAACACUGGUUCGUGAACCAGCUUGACGGUACUGUAAGAAUAAGGAUCGGCUAACUCCGUGCCAGCCGCCGCGGUAAAAC
rnacentral:rRNA from 1 species